CCAUUUUAAUGGGAGGAAGUCAUCUUUUGUGUCCUCGUGAUUUCUGGGAUAUGUUUUGGAGAAAAUAUCUCAAAUGUAUUUUGUACCUACAAUUUUCUUGCUUGGAAAGGACCCCAAAGCCUUGUCAACAUGGUGGUGAGAUCUGCUCCUGACGAGCCUGUGGCCCUGGGGCCCUAACACACAGGCCUGCUGAAGUGGAAAUGCUGCUGCACCUGCUGCAGAUCUCAAAUGUCUCUCCAAAGCCCUCAGCUGUAGUCAUCAGUGGAUUGAUCACAGCUGAAUGUGCAGUCAGGAGGUGGACCUGGUUGGAACAGGUGCGUGACCUGGUGGGAAGGAUCUCCGACCCCAGAUCCUCCCUUCUACCUCUGCUUCCUGGACGCCAUGACAUGAGCAGCUCUCCGCCAUGGCAAGCUCUUCCACCACGCCAUUUCUGCCUUCGAGCCUGCCAGCCACGGACUGAAACUUCUCAAACUGUGAGCCAAAAUAAAGUCCCCUUCUUUAAGUUGUGGGUGUCAG
rnacentral:lncRNA from 1 species